CGCACAUUGCGCCCCUUGGUACUCCAUGGGGCAUGCCUGUUCGAGCGUCAUCUACACCCUCAAGCGCUGCUUGGUGUUGGGCGUCUGUCCCGCCCAUGUGCGUGGACUCGCCCUAAAUGCAUUGGUAGCGGUGCUUUGCCUCCUCUUGCGCAGCACGUCGCGCUUUCCUCGGGGGGGGGAGGAGGCGCAGGCCCGCGCCCACGGAGCCACAAUUACCGUCUUUUGACCUCGGAUCAGGUAGGGAUACCCGCUGAACUUAA
rnacentral:misc_RNA from 1 species